rnacentral:rRNA from 1 species
CGGCGGACGGGUGAGUAACGCGUGGGUAACCUGCCCUAAAGCCCGGGAUAACACCGGGAAACUGGUGCUAACACCGGAUACCUUCCGAAGAGGGCAUCCUUUUUGGAAGAAAGGUUAACGCUUUAGGAUGGGCCCGCGUCCCAUUAGCUAGUUGGUGAGGUAACGGCUCACCAAGGCAGUGAUGGGUAGCCGGCCUGAGAGGGUGGACGGCCACACUGGGACUGAGACACGGCCCAGACUCCUACGGGAGGCAGCAGUAGGGAAUAUUGCGCAAUGGGCGAAAGCCUGACGCAGCGACGCCGCGUGGGUGAUGAAGGCCUUCGGGUUGUAAAACCCUGUCCUUGGGGAAGAAGGAAGUGACGGUACCCAAGGAGGAAGCCCCGGCUAACUACGUGCCAGCAGCCGCGGUAAAACGUAGGGGGCGAGCGUUGUCCGGAAUAACUGGGCGUA